AAUACAACACAGGUUAUAUACCCAGCCCUGUGGAGACCGUCCCUGAAACACUGCCUGGAUAAUACAACACAGGUUAUAUACCCAGCCCUGUGGAGACCGUCCCUGAAACACUGCCUGGAUAAUACAACACAGGUUAUAUACCCAGCCCUGUGGAGACCAUCCCUGAAACACUGAGACAACACAGGUUAUAUACCCAGCCCUGUGGAGACCGUCCCUGAAACACUGCCUGGAUAAUACAACACAGGUUAUAUACCCAGCCCUGUGGAGACCGUCCCUGAAACACUGAGACAACACAGGUUAUAUACCCAGCCCAGUGGAGACCGUCCCCGAAACACUGCCUGGAUAAUACAACACAGGUUAUAUACCCAGCCCUGUGGAGACCGUCCCUGAAACACUGCCUGGAUAAUACAACACAGGUUAUAUACCCAGCCCUGUGGAGACCGUCCCUGAAACACUGAGACAACACAGGUUAUAUACCCAGCCCUGUGGAGACCAUCCCUGAAACACUGAGACAACACAGGUUAUAUACCCAGCCCUGUGGAGACCAUCCCCGAAACACUGCCUGGAUAAUACAACACAGGUUAUAUACCCAGCCCUGUGGAGACCAUCCCUGAAACACUGCCUGGAUAAUACAACACAGGUUAUAUACCCAGCCCUGUGGAGACCAUCCCUGAAACACUGAGACAACACAGGUUAUAUACCCAGCCCUGUGGAGACCAUCCCUGAAACACUGAGACAACACAGGUUAUAUACCCAGCCCUGUGGAGACCAUCCCUGAAACACUGAGACAACACAGGUUAUAUACCCAGCCCUGUGGAGACCAUCCCUGAAACACUGAGACAACACAGGUUAUAUACUCAGCCCUGUGGAGACCGUCCCUGAAACACUGCCUGGAUAAUACAACACAGGUUAUAUACCCAGCCCUGUGGAGACCGUCCCUGAAACACUGAGACAACACAGGUUAUAUACCCAGCCCUGUGGAGACCAUCCCUGAAACACUGAGACAACACAGGUUAUAUACCCAGCCCUGUGGAGACCAUCCCCGAAACACUGCCUGGAUAAUACAACACAGGUUAUAUACCCAGCCCUGUGGAGACCAUCCCUGAAACACUGCCUGGAUAAUACAACACAGGUUAUAUACCCAGCCCUGUGGAGACCAUCCCUGAAACACUGCCUGGAUAAUACAACACAGGUUAUAUACCCAGCCCAGUGGAGACAGUCCCCGAAACACUGCCUGGAUAAUACAACACAGGUUAUAUACCCAGCCCUGUGGAGACCGUCCCUGAAACACUGCCUGGAUAAUACAACACAGGUUAUAUACCCAGCCCUGUAGAGACCGUCCCUGAAACACUGAGACAACACAGGUUAUAUACCCAGCCCUGUGGAGACCGUCCCCGAAACACUGCCUGGAUAAUACAACACAGGUUAUAUACCCAGCCCUGUAGAGACCGUCCCUGAAACACUGAGACAACACAGGUUAUAUACCCAGCCCAGUGGAGACCGUCCCCGAAACACUGCCUGGAUAAUACAACACAGGUUAUAUACCCAGCCCUGUAGAGACCGUCCCUGAAACACUGAGACAACACAGGUUAUAUACCCAGCCCUGUGGAGACCGUCCCCGAAACACUGCCUGGAUAAUACAACACAGGUUAUAUACCCAGCCCUGUGGAGACCAUCCCUGAAACACUGCCUGGAUAAUACAACACAGGUUAUAUACCCAGCCCUGUGGAGACCGUCCCCGAAACACUGCCUGGAUAAUACAACACAGGUUAUAUACCCAGCCCUGUGGAGACCGUCCCUGAAACACUGAGACAACACAGGUUAUAUACCCAGCCCUGUGGAGACCAUCCCUGAAACACUGCCUGGAUAAUACAACACAGGUUAUAUACCCAGCCCUGUGGAGACCAUCCCCGAAACACUGCCUGGAUAAUACAACACAGGUUAUAUACCCAGCCCUGUGGAGACCAUCCCUGAAACACUGCCUGGAUAAUACAACACAGGUUAUAUACCCAGCCCUGUGGAGACCGUCCCUGAAACACUGCCUGGAUAAUACAACACAGGUUAUAUACCCAGCCCUGUGGAGACCGUCCCUGAAACACUGAGACAACACAGGUUAUAUACCCAGCCCUGUGGAGACCAUCCCUGAAACACUGAGACAACACAGGUUAUAUACUCAGCCCUGUGGAGACCGUCCCCGAAACACUGCCUGGAUAAUACAACACAGGUUAUAUACCCAGCCCUGUGGAGACCGUCCCUGAAACAACACAGGUUAUAUACCCAGCCCUGUGGAGACCAUCCCUGAAACACUGAGACAACACAGGUUAUAUACCCAGCCCUGUGGAGACCAUCCCUGAAACACUGAGACAACACAGGUUAUAUACUCAGCCCUGUGGAGACCGUCCCCGAAACACUGCCUGGAUAAUACAACACAGGUUAUAUACCCAGCCCUGUGGAGACCGUCCCUGAAACACUGAGACAACACAGGUUAUAUACCCAGCCCUGUGGAGACCGUCCCCGAAACACUGCCUGGAUAAUACAACACAGGUUAUAUACCCAGCCCUGUGGAGACCAUCCCUGAAACACUGCCUGGAUAAUACAACACAGGUUAUAUACCCAGCCCUGUGGAGACCAUCCCUGAAACACUGAGACAACACAGGUUAUAUACUCAGCCCUGUGGAGACCGUCCCCGAAACACUGCCUGGAUAAUACAACACAGGUUAUAUACCCAGCCCUGUGGAGACCGUCCCUGAAACAACACAGGUUAUAUACCCAGCCCUGUGGAGACCAUCCCUGAAACACUGAGACAACACAGGUUAUAUACCCAGCCCUGUGGAGACCGUCCCUGAAACACUGCCUGGAUAAUACAACACAGGUUAUAUACCCAGCCCUGUGGAGACCGUCCCUGAAACACUGAGACAACACAGGUUAUAUACCCAGCCCUGUGGAGACCAUCCCUGAAACACUGAGACAACACAGGUUAUAUACUCAGCCCUGUGGAGACCGUCCCCGAAACACUGCCUGGAUAAUACAACACAGGUUAUAUACCCAGCCCUGUGGAGACCGUCCCUGAAACACUGAGACAACACAGGUUAUAUACCCAGCCCUGUGGAGACCAUCCCUGAAACACUGAGACAACACAGGUUAUAUACCCAGCCCUGUGGAGACCGUCCCUGAAACACUGAGACAACACAGGUUAUAUACCCAGCCCUGUGGAGACCGUCCCUGAAACACUGAGACAACACAGGUUAUAUACCAGCCCUGUGGAGACCGUCCCUGAAACACUGAGACAACACAGGUUAUAUACCCAGCCCUGUGGAGACCGUCCCUGAAACACUGCCUGGAUAAUACAACACAGGUUAUAUACCCAGCCCUGUGGAGACCGUCCCUGAAACACUGCCUGGAUAAUACAACACAGGUUAUAUACCCAGCCCUGUGGAGACCGUCCCUGAAACACUGCCUGGAUAAUACAACACAGGUUAUAUACCCAGCCCUGUGGAGACCGUCCCUGAAACACUGCCUGGAUAAUACAACACAGGUUAUAUACCCAGCCCUGUGGAGACCGUCCCUGAAACACUGAGACAACACAGGUUAUAUACCCAGCCCUGUGGAGACCGUC